UUCACCGGUAGAACAUUUUAAAACUUUCCGAUUAUGAAAAUAUAGAUCAAAUACUGAUCUCUAGCGAGAAAAAACAUAGCGUGAGCCGUUGACGGGUCGGGGGGUCUUGAAAGCCAAGUUUGGGAAACGAUGAUUUAGAUCUUUGAGGAUGUAUUAAAGGAUACUCUAGAUAAUUUUCCGGAAUCUUUAUUUUAACAGUAAAUCUUUAUUUGAAACUCUGAAAAAUACACACUUAAACAGACACUCGGAGUUCGGUAAAAUAAUUUACCGGAAUAAAUCGGUGAACUAGAAAUUUACUGAUGAUUCGGUAUUUGAUAGCCUGAUUACCGACAUCCGUAAAUUAUAAGACGAACGGUCUGUGAAUUCUCACGAAUUUACCGAACACGGUGAAAUGUUUUACAGAUUAACCUGUAAAUCAGCCAUUUUACCGAAAUCCGUAAAACUAUUAGCUGAGUUUCGGUAAAUCGUGUCCACAUUACCGAAAUUGGUAACAUGUACAGCGAGAAACGUCAAUUCCGCCAUAUUAUGUUUUCGUUCAGCUCUCGUGUUUCGAUCGGAUGUUUUUGAGUGAUAAAACCGGGUGUUAGAGGCAAUUUUCUUUAAUAUCGUGAACAGAAUAUAUGCCAAAUAUAAGCAGCCACGCUAUACGAUGGGUGAUGACCACUUGCACUCGACAAACGCUGUCUCUGCACAUAAUUGCGUAUAGGGCAAAAUAAAUUCAAGCGCCCGGAUUCAUGUCCUGCUCAGCAAACGCUAUAUUUCUACAUGCAAUUUUACUGUAAAAUGUAACCUUGGUAUUAGCUGAAGCACGAGCAGAUGGAUGUAUUGGCCACUGGAUGAUGAUUUUGAGAUUACCAUAAGUAUCAACAAGAGCAAGAUUAGGCCGAACAAGUGAAUAAUAAAAUACAAAACAUGAUUGUUUAUCUUUUCUUGCGAAUAGGAAUCCACCGGUGAUUUUUUAUUUCCACAAUAAAAAUACAGCUUUUCUGUCAAAUCAAUUACAAACCACACUUUUUCAUUCGGUAAACGUUACCGAUCAGUCGGUAAAUUUGACAGUUGCAGCGCCAGUCCUAGCUUACAGACGUGUCGGUAAAUUUUUCGUUUACCGAAACGAUUACCGACUGUUCAGCUGUUGAGAUUUCGGUAAACGAAUCACCGAAGUCGGUAAUUUUUCCUUAGUGUGUAUUCUGCAGGGAUACCCUAGAAAACCCCCUAGUGGAAUCCUAGAAGAAAUCUAUUUAAACAUAAUUGGAAGAAUUACUGGAAUAAUUGGUGUAGCCUUUCCUGAUGAAAAGCUUUAAAUGAACUCGAGGAACCUUAACACAAAUCUUCUAGAGUAAUCCCUGGAUGAAAUGCAGGGAAAUUCCAGAAGAAAAGAACUUUAUAUAAAAUCCCUAAAAAAACGAAGUUGGAAUUCCUAAAGGUGACCUUCGCUGCUGAAAAGUUGGGUACACUCUGCUUGGAAUCUCUGGAAAACUGACCAUAAGGUUGUGCAAGGUAAAAUUGCAUAGCAUCAAGAUGGCUGGGAAUCAAUAAUCGACAGUCUGUCGUUGAUGCAUAACAGUAUGAAUCAACGAGUAGUACAAGUGUAGUGAUUUUUUUUGGAAACAAGAACUAGUAAGCUAACAAAUGAUUUCGGUAAAGACCUCGAAAAGACGAAGAGGCAGCUCAGCAUUGAAAAAAAUAUCAGAAAAAUAAUAUCGAUACAAGAAAAUUAAGAAGUUUUGGAUCGGGUAGGGACAAGUUUCUUGAAGUAGCGGAGUUACGUCAAACUUGUACAUAUGCAGAUAUAACUUUUUGCUCUAGCAUUGAAUAUACUCAUGGAACUAUGAUGACGUUUGCUUAUUGAGUUUUGAAUUUAGUGAUUAUUAGAUAAUUCAGCAUUUAUAUGAAUAAACGCCUGAGACUAUAUCAUUUCUUAACAAAUGUGGCCUACUUACUUCUUAUAUACAAAUUAUAAGUCAAUUGAGGCCCUUCAAAAUUAUCUCUUAACUUUUUUAAUGAUAAAAAUAGGCCACCCUAGUAUUUAUAUGUUAUUCAAACGUCGAAAAAGUUAAAUCGAAAUAAAACGAAUAAAAAUGGAUAAAACGACUAA